CAACCUCUGGACCAGACUUGGGCCAAACCUGACAGUGACCAUGAACUAUUCCCACGGGAAAAUCAAGGCACGCGGGGGCUCCGUGCCCGACCGUGACCGCGGGGGCAGCAAGGUGAGGGCGAGACCCCUGGGCGCCCGUCAGCGCUUUCUCCUCCUCUCUCCAUCUGUCACCUGAGAAUUUUCACAGACAGGAGGAAGUGUGUCUCACUCACUUGUAACCUUAUUCUGUGAAAGAAACGUCCACAAAAGUUAAUGAAAAAUGUAAAACUGAAAGUUAAAAAUACUUCCCUCUUUCACUUCCUUGCUGGGGUGAAGUCAGAUUUCUGUGCGGUCGGCGCCACCCGGACCCAGAGCACCCAUCCGGCCUUCCACCCGGUCUCCCAGGAGGGAGAGGCCCAGAAGCUCCAGGCAGCCAGGAGGCCAAGCGGCCCGAGGUGGGCGGGGGGCGGGGGGCAGAGCGUUUCCCCAAACGCGCGAUCCCAGCAGCGUCAGUUGAGGGAGAGCGUGCCUAGCCCUGGCCAGGACGCAGCGAUGGCUCCAAGCACGAAGGCUGGGGUCUGCGGUGCUGGUGAGGACGUAGGGGGACCGGACAUGGCCCCCAGGCCGCGGGUGUAACGGGGCUGCGGCUCCCCAGAGAGUUAAACUGGAGCUGCUGCGGACCCAGCAGGCCCCUCCUGCGUGCCCAGCCGCUGCCGCAAAGAGCAGGAUGUGGCGUGCCGAGUGUGACUUAGCUGUAAAAAGGGACGGAAUUCUGACACAUUCUGCAUCGCGCACGUUCCCUGAAAACAUUCUGCUCAGUGAAAGAAGUCGGCUUUCACAAAAGGCCACGUGUUGUGUGAGUCCAUUUCCAAGAAACGCCCAGAACAGGCGAACCCGUGGAGACAGCAGGUGGGCCCGGGUUUCUCUGGGGGAAAUGAGCUCAUCUUGGAUUAGGUGGUGGUGACAGUUGUACACGUUUGCGAAGACGGUGGGAACUACUGGAAAAGGCACUAGGGAUUGAAGCCAGGACCUCGUGCACACCCAGUGCGUGCUCCACCCCCGAGCUCCACCCCCACCCCCCAGGUUUCUCCUUCUGAAACAAGUCAAUCUUGCAACUGUAACAGCCAUCCCUCUUCUCCCAGAGAAGCCCGUCUGCAAAGGACCCUCAGAACCCUCUCCCCCAGAAAGGCGGGGUGGGCUCCGUGAGCUGCACACAGACACGGCCAGCCACAGACUCACGGGUCUCACAGUACCUCUUUCCGCUCCGCGUCAGCCUGAACGCGGGCCUGGGCCACGGCGGCCUCUCGGUAGGAGCUGGCCUGCUUGGCUUGUUCAAAUAGCGUCUUCAGCUGCUGCGCCGUGUUGAGCAAGGAAUUGACCAUCUCCUCCAGGUACAGCCAGCUCCGCUGCUCUGACAUCUCCAGCCCGCCGACCACCGUGGGAGAGACGGCUUUGGUGGGGGUGGAGGGUGGCACCGCCAGGGCCGGCAGGGAGGUCAACACUAGAACGUUUGGAAGCAAAGUAAAGCAGGAAGUUAACAGGUUUCCUGGCUCCCAGGUGCCCAUCAAAUGUGGGAGAGCAGGGCGGUGGGGAGGCCGCGACAAGUCCUGCCCUAUACAGGGUGACCGCAGACUCGCAGAGCCAGCGAGAGAGCAGGGCCGGCUAGGGGUCCUGGUUAAAUCGCAUAAUCAUGAACCAGACAGAGUGAAAUCUCCUGGUUUCAUUUCUGCUCAAGCAGAAAGCCUUCCGGAUGCCUGAAGUCACGGGGGAUGGAUGAGGGAUGCUGGGAGGCCGGAGAAGACGGAGAAGGAAGUCAAGAAGACGCAGAGGGGACCCAGAAGGGGCAGGACGGGGACCCCCAUGCGGAGGUGUGCGCACAGUGCCCACCUCCGUCCCUGGAGGGGCCUGGAGGCAGAAACGCCCUGUGGCCCGAGCGCACCCAGGGCUGUGCUGUCGGAUGUCUAACAUUCAGCCUCCAGGAGAGAAUCCGAUCGCGUCUGCCGAUUCCCUGGUGUAAAUGCUCAGCCUAGGCCGGCUUCAGGCUACCAGCGCAAGGCCACCAGACGUGGGCCACACAGGACGCACAGACCCACUGUGGCCAGGGCCAGACUCAGCCGUGAACCCCAUUCCCCACUGACAGGGUCAGGAUCUGGGAGGAAUGGGACACCACCAACCCUCGCUGGGCCGGACACUAAGGAGAGGCCAGCGUGACAGGGCAGCUCAGGACUCCCGCUGGCCAAAUCUGGGGCCGCUGCAUACAGAUCAUCACAGCAAGUUCCAACACCCUGAGUAAGACAGGGACCCACGAGUCCACGCUGACGUGAGAUGAGCCAGAAAGCAGCCGUGGGACGAGACUGGCCGAUGCAAGAAGCCCCGCUCAGAGCACAGGCUGACCACAGCGCGAUGACCCUCCUUCUAGGGGCUGGGCUCUGGCCGCAGCAGGGUUCCCAGGGCCGUGGCCUGGCUGAGGGGCCCCGUCCAGGUGCGGGGAAGGAGGUAGAACUGAGGUGAGCUUCGAGGACGGAGGAAGUUUUAAAGCAAAGGAGAGAAUAAGGAAGCAAGCAGACGAGAGUGGGAAGGCAACGCUUCACACGCUCAAGGACAAGUUCCUAUCUUGUAGCCUCAUCCGUGUUUAUGAAAAAUGUGAAAAACACAAACGUCCACCAGCUGGGACUACAAUGCUCCCUUUAAAACAGUGAACUGACAAGAAACGUAUCCAAAACAUGUGGCUAGUGACAAGUCAAACUCAAAACGCACAGGCAGGGCGACGUCCCUGUGCGGUGCCAGGCGGGCGCAAGGCAGACACACGCCCCGCCGGGCCCGCUCACCCAGCACCAAGGGCCCAGGCCGCCUCACGGGAGGCGGGCCCAAAGCGUGGUGUCUGGUGAGAGCCCGGCAGAACCUUGGGCUCAGCGGGUCACCGGUCACCACGGGGGCAGUCUCACAGCACAGGGAAGCCCAGGGCUCCCAACACCGGCAGGGCCCGGCGCGGCUCGGCCAGCUGCCAUCUGAAAACCCAGCACACCCCACCUUGCCCGGAAGGCCCCCCAGAAGCAGCCGUUGUGAGCGGACGCGGGGCGGGGGCUGGCCCACACUGACCUAUCUUGGGGUGAGCGGUUGGCAGCGCUGCCUCGGGGAACGGUGCGAUCUGGCAGCUGUCCUGGUACCCUGGGUAGUGCGGCUCCGGGUGGCCGACCCUGCAGGGGGGCUGCACCCCCGCCUCUUGCACUGUCAGGAGAAGAGGACACGACAGCCCGUGACCGGCUGCUGGCUGCAGGUGUCACGGCUCAAGACCCUGCAGCUGCGCCAGCCAGCAGGGGCGCUCCAGGCUGAAACACCGGGCGGAGCGCACACAGUGCCGGUCAGCUCCACCUGCUCCCUUUCCCUCCCCUAACAAGGCCACAGGGGCACACAGGGACACAGGAGACGUCUGCGCCCCGUGCUUCCAUAUCCAGUCCCCUCUCGCCCCGCUCACCACUCCGGGCCAAUGAAAGGCCCCCACUGGAGGGGCCAGGCUGCCCACAAACCCCAACUCUGUGGGCGGACCCGCAGCAUGCAGGCGCCAAGACAACUUGCCUGUGGCUCCGGCAAAGACGUCGCCCUGUGCUGGGCUCUCCGAGAUGACGGCGGUGGCCUCCACAGUGGACGCCCGGUCAAAGGUCAGCGCGCCGGAGGUAGUGAUCUGGCCUGAGGGGGUCACGGUGACUGGAAGAGAAGAAGCAAUUUCACUGCAGGGCCGGUGGCACCCCACCAGGCAGGUCUCAGACACCGCGGAGGGCCGGUCACCCCCCAGGGACAGCGCCUGGGUGCCUGUGGGGACGAGGGACGCCCGACCACUCCACUCGAUGGCUCAGGCUGCUGGACUCCAAGCACAUGAUGUGCUGUCUCAGCAGAAAACAAGAAACGAAGUUUAAGGUGGUGUCCUGGCGGAGGACACAGGCUAGGCCCCGCUGACCACCCUCCGCCCGCAGUGCCCAGCGUGUAAGCGGCGUCAUGCGGAGAGCACGUCAGUCUCGGGAUCUGCUCCACGAACACUCACAGGUGGUGGCGGCAGUGGCCGGGAGCAGGGUGAUGUUCUUGGGUGAGUCCUUCUUGACCGGCACCGGGGGCAGCUCGCUUUCCCUCUUGCGCCUUUUGUAGGGGACAAAGAGCCGGACCGGGCCGCUCUGCAGGGAGAGGCAAAGGAGGAUGAGUGGACACCCACGUGUGGCUCUCCGCCCCGACCACAUGACCGGCCUCAAGACGGAGCUGCAGCCCGAGGCCCGACCCCUCUGUGGCCCCAAGCUCCUGAAGACGAGAGGAAAGGCCUCCCGGACAGAGCGCAUGGGGGCUGCCACCCCAGACGAGUCCUGGCAACACCGUGCUUUCAGGGAGCCCUGGGAGACAGGGAGGGGAGAGCCCGCAGACACUGGCCCCUGGCCCGGGGCCUGGUGGGGCAGGGGCAGCGGGAAGUGGUGGAAGUGAGGGGCGUCCCGCUGGCCCUCUAUGCCACCCUCCAGACCCACCAGGGUCCCCUAGUGGACUUCCAGCCCGCUACGCUCGCCCCGGCUUCCAGAGUCCCCACCGGGCUCCUUGUGAGGUCACUCUCUGCUGGCGUCCUCCACGAGGAGACGCUGCCACCCCACCUUCUGCUGCGGCCAGCACCGUGUCCCCAGACUCACAUGUGAGGCCCUGCCCCCAGGCCCAGCAGUAUUCGGAGUAAGGAGGCCACAAAGGUUCAAUGAGGUCUUGAGGGGGGCAUCCUGAUGGGAUUAGUGUCCUUACAGGGGGAGCCCUGGAUCUCAGGCGGGGCUGCCAGACUCCCCUGCAGUGAGGAAACUUCUGAGGCCGGCCACCACUGUGGUGCUCUGGCCCCGCAGAGUCCCCAGGGCCCCUCCUCCAGCUCUCUGGACACAGGAGGCUCUCGGAAGCCUCUGUCCGCUGCCCCGUCUCUUCCUCUGUGCGGCUCACACACCUGUUUCUUUACACGUCUCAGAAUUUUGGGGGGCCCUGGACACUUCACGUGAUGUGUUGUAGCAACUGUGCAGGUGACCCUCUACCUCUGGGCUCCCAGCUGUGGCCGUGGGGGGCCAGGCGCCCACUAGGCCGGCAGCGCUCCACUUGGUCCGCUUCCCAAGUGCUCCACACACAGGCGGCCCCGCCGUCUGAGCCAGUCGUCCCAGGCUCCUUUACCGGCUGGCUCCUAAGGGAAAUCUUCGAGGAGGGCUCCUCGCAGCCAUCACCUUCCCUGGUCCCUGGUGUCACUGGCUGAGCCUCUCAGCUCGGAGCUGCAGGGACGGGGCUCACGGCCCGGGGCCCGCCACCCUGUGGGCGAGGUGGGCUGGAGGGACUGGGGAGGGGCAGGUCCUGGCUCAAACGUCAGACUCAGAAGAUUUUCCUGCAUAAACGUCUUUUCUGUUGUAUGCCCCCAGAGUAACGUCCAGUCACCUUAAACGGUUGCUUUUUCUUUAGUAACUUUCACCAGUUAAGGUUAUUCCUCUGGGGAGCGGGCCCAUACCACCGUUCCUGUCGUGGAAGCCAACACUCCUAAACCUGAUGGAGCCAGGUGUCCAGGUUGCUGUCUUAUGGACUGUGCCUUUUGUUUCAGCUCUAAGGCAUCCUGGUCUAACCCGGGACACAAAGAUUUUCCUGGGUUUCUUCUCAAACUUUGUGAGUUUUACGUUUUGGAUAAAUUUUGAUCUCUGACCCAUUUUGAACUCGUUUGUAUGUACAGUGUCAAGUUUAGGGCGCAGAUCGCUUCUGCGCCUAUGAAUGUCCAGCCAUCCCCACACGCUGCACUGGGGAGACCCUUGGGGGACUCGUGUGGAUGGCCGGCCUGCUCCUGGAUGGGCAGUCUCCCUGCACAGAAUCAUGCAGUCUCGACAACGGAAACACGGCGACUCUGCAAGCCCAGAUUCAGCCUCUUUCCCUACACCCUCCUGCUCUCCUAUUUCUUUUCGUUCUGACAUGAAUUUUAGAAUCAGCUUGUUGACAGCUACAAAAUCCUGCUGGACCUCUGAAGAGAACUGUGCUAACCACACACCAGUUUGGGGAGAACCAACGUCUUCACUACGCUGAGGCCCCCUCCAGGGACAGUGUGUAGUCACGUCUUCUCUGACUUCUUUCGUUGGCGGUUUCUAGUUUUCAGCGUACAUACUCUGUACAUGUUUCGGCAGAUUUACACCUGAGAUCCCAGCGUUUUGGAGUGGCUGUAAACAAUCAACCAUGCACUCUCACCCCCUCAGUGGAACCCAGUCCCUCUUACUGCUCCUUCUGUCCUCGUGAGAUCUCUGAGGGUCUCACCUGCUGGUUUUCCCAAGCAACCUUUACAGCUAUU